UUGGUUGGAUCCCUGCUUGGGCAGCGACAUCCCCCGUGCAAGCCUCUUCAAUUUUCGGCCCAAGAACAAGUUAGCCUUGGCCGUUUAUCGGUUUCCUGUGCUGUAUACCUACUAUMAUGGAAUUCGAAUGUCCAAUAUUUUGUUAUUCGCCUUGUGCUGUCCCAUUGGUUGUCCCUUUGGGGUGCGGUGUCGGGUGAACCUCGAAGCGUUCUUCAUGUUCUUCGUCGCCCACGAAAUGUGUUGUCGGCGUGGCCCAUGAAGAUUGCUUGAGCUCUCGGAUGCGGAAUAUGCAGAGGGUAGUAGGCCUACAGCCUCUCUUUGCCCGAAUUAAGCGUUUAUUCGCUCAUUACCGAACGACGGCCGGCGGUGCCUUGAUGUGUUGGAGCCCUCAGGUUUUGGCAUCAUCAUGCAUCGCUGGCGUCAAUAAGGAAUGCUACCUGGUUGAUCCUGCCAGUAGUCAU
rnacentral:misc_RNA from 1 species